rnacentral:rRNA from 1 species
AACGAACGCUGGCGGCAGGCUUAACACAUGCAAGUCGAACGCACCUUUCGGGGUGAGUGGCAGACGGGUGAGUAACGCGUGGGAAUCUACCCUUCUCUACGGGAUAGCUCCGGGAAACUGGAAUUAAUACCGUAUACGUCCUGAGGGAGAAAGAUUUAUCGGGGAAGGAUGAGCCCGCGUUGGAUUAGCUAGUUGGUGGGGUAAAGGCCUACCAAGGCGACGAUCCAUAGCUGGUCUAAGAGGAUGAUCAGCCACAUUGGGACUGAGACACGGCCCAAACUCCUACGGGAGGCAGCAGUGGGGAAUAUUGGCCAAUGGGCGCAAGCCUGAUCCAGCCAUGCCGCGUGAGUGAUGAAGGCCCUAGGGUUGUAAAGCUCUUUCAGUGGGGACGAUAAUGACGGUACCCACAGAAGAAGCCCCGGCUAACUUCGUG